rnacentral:piRNA from 1 species
UGGACCUCUGUAAAAGCCUUUCAGCAG